AUGCUCAAGCGCCGCCCGUGCAUCGAUGCCGGCGUCAGUUGCAUUGAGGAGUUCGUGGAGCCCCUCGACCCCGCCCUCGCCCUCACCUACAUCGACAACCCCGCCCGUCUCGGCGCGGUCGACUCCCCCUUCGUCCGGCUCGUCUCCGACGAGUACGGCGUCGGCGGGGACAAAGCGCCGUUUGUCUGCCUCGGCGGCUUCCGGAACACCCGCGGUGUGUAUGAGCUCGAGGAGGGCGAGGAGCGGGGGCUCGUGCUAGAGCUCGGAGGGAGGGGCUCUGUGUCGUGA
rnacentral:rRNA from 1 species